UUAAGCGACUAAGCGUACACGGUGGAUGCCCUGGCAGUCAGAGGCGAUGAAGGACGUGCUAAUCUGCGAUAAGCGUCGGUAAGGUGAUAUGAACCGUUAUAACCGGCGAUUUCCGAAUGGGGAAACCCAGUGUGUUUCGACACACUAUCAUUAACUGAAUCCAUAGGUUAAUGAGGCGAACCGGGGGAACUGAAACAUCUAAGUACCCCGAGGAAAAGAAAUCAACCGAGAUUCCCCCAGUAGCGGCGAGCGAACGGGGAGGAGCCCAGAGCCUGAAUCAGUGUGUGUGUUAGUGGAAGCGUCUGGAAAGGCGCGCGAUACAGGGUGACAGCCCCGUACACAAAAAUGCACAUACUGUGAGCUCGAUGAGUAGGGCGGGACACGUGGUAUCCUGUCUGAAUAUGGGGGGACCAUCCUCCAAGGCUAAAUACUCCUGACUGACCGAUAGUGAACCAGUACCGUGAGGGAAAGGCGAAAAGAACCCCGGCGAGGGGAGUGAAAAAGAACCUGAAACCGUGUACGUACAAGCAGUGGGAGCCUCUUUAUGGGGUGACUGCGUACCUUUUGUAUAAUGGGUCAGCGACUUAUAUUCUGUAGCAAGGUUAACCGAAUAGGGGAGCCGAAGGGAAACCGAGUCUUAACUGGGCGUUAAGUUGCAGGGUAUAGACCCGAAACCCGGUGAUCUAGCCAUGGGCAGGUUGAAGGUUGGGUAACACUAACUGGAGGACCGAACCGACUAAUGUUGAAAAAUUAGCGGAUGACUUGUGGCUGGGGGUGAAAGGCCAAUCAAACCGGGAGAUAGCUGGUUCUCCCCGAAAGCUAUUUAGGUAGCGCCUCGUGAAUUCAUCUCCGGGGGUAGAGCACUGUUUCGGCAAGGGGGUCAUCCCGACUUACCAACCCGAUGCAAACUGCGAAUACCGGAGAAUGUUAUCACGGGAGACACACGGCGGGUGCUAACGUCCGUCGUGAAGAGGGAAACAACCCAGACCGCCAGCUAAGGUCCCAAAGUCAUGGUUAAGUGGGAAACGAUGUGGGAAGGCCCAGACAGCCAGGAUGUUGGCUUAGAAGCAGCCAUCAUUUAAAGAAAGCGUAAUAGCUCACUGGUCGAGUCGGCCUGCGCGGAAGAUGUAACGGGGCUAAACCAUGCACCGAAGCUGCGGCAGCGACGCUUAUGCGUUGUUGGGUAGGGGAGCGUUCUGUAAGCCUGCGAAGGUGUACUGUGAGGUAUGCUGGAGGUAUCAGAAGUGCGAAUGCUGACAUAAGUAACGAUAAAGCGGGUGAAAAGCCCGCUCGCCGGAAGACCAAGGGUUCCUGUCCAACGUUAAUCGGGGCAGGGUGAGUCGACCCCUAAGGCGAGGCCGAAAGGCGUAGUCGAUGGGAAACAGGUUAAUAUUCCUGUACUUGGUGUUACUGCGAAGGGGGGACGGAGAAGGCUAUGUUGGCCGGGCGACGGUUGUCCCGGUUUAAGCGUGUAGGCUGGUUUUCCAGGCAAAUCCGGAAAAUCAAGGCUGAGGCGUGAUGACGAGGCACUACGGUGCUGAAGCAACAAAUGCCCUGCUUCCAGGAAAAGCCUCUAAGCAUCAGGUAACAUCAAAUCGUACCCCAAACCGACACAGGUGGUCAGGUAGAGAAUACCAAGGCGCUUGAGAGAACUCGGGUGAAGGAACUAGGCAAAAUGGUGCCGUAACUUCGGGAGAAGGCACGCUGAUAUGUAGGUGAAGCGACUUGCUCGUGGAGCUGAAAUCAGUCGAAGAUACCAGCUGGCUGCAACUGUUUAUUAAAAACACAGCACUGUGCAAACACGAAAGUGGACGUAUACGGUGUGACGCCUGCCCGGUGCCGGAAGGUUAAUUGAUGGGGUUAGCGCAAGCGAAGCUCUUGAUCGAAGCCCCGGUAAACGGCGGCCGUAACUAUAACGGUCCUAAGGUAGCGAAAUUCCUUGUCGGGUAAGUUCCGACCUGCACGAAUGGCGUAAUGAUGGCCAGGCUGUCUCCACCCGAGACUCAGUGAAAUUGAACUCGCUGUGAAGAUGCAGUGUACCCGCGGCAAGACGGAAAGACCCCGUGAACCUUUACUAUAGCUUGACACUGAACAUUGAGCCUUGAUGUGUAGGAUAGGUGGGAGGCUUUGAAGUGUGGACGCCAGUCUGCAUGGAGCCGGCCUUGAAAUACCACCCUUUAAUGUUUGAUGUUCUAACGUUGGCCCCUGAUCGGGGUUGCGGACAGUGUCUGGUGGGUAGUUUGACUGGGGCGGUCUCCUCCUAAAGAGUAACGGAGGAGCACGAAGGUUGGCUAAUCCUGGUCGGACAUCAGGAGGUUAGUGCAAUGGCAUAAGCCAGCUUGACUGCGAGCGUGACGGCGCGAGCAGGUGCGAAAGCAGGUCAUAGUGAUCCGGUGGUUCUGAAUGGAAGGGCCAUCGCUCAACGGAUAAAAGGUACUCCGGGGAUAACAGGCUGAUACCGCCCAAGAGUUCAUAUCGACGGCGGUGUUUGGCACCUCGAUGUCGGCUCAUCACAUCCUGGGGCUGAAGUAGGUCCCAAGGGUAUGGCUGUUCGCCAUUUAAAGUGGUACGCGAGCUGGGUUUAGAACGUCGUGAGACAGUUCGGUCCCUAUCUGCCGUGGGCGCUGGAGAACUGAGGGGGGCUGCUCCUAGUACGAGAGGACCGGAGUGGACGCAUCACUGGUGUUCGGGUUGUCAUGCCAAUGGCACUGCCCGGUAGCUAAAUGCGGAAGAGAUAAGUGCUGAAAGCAUCUAAGCACGAAACUUGCCCCGAGAUGAGUUCUCCCUGACUCCUUGAGAGUCCUGAAGGAACGUUGAAGACGACGACGUUGAUAGGCCGGGUGUGUAAGCGCAGCGAUGCGUUGAGCUAACCGGUACUAAUGAACCGUGAGGCUUAACCUU
rnacentral:rRNA from 1 species